rnacentral:rRNA from 1 species
AUGGUGAAAUUUAAUGUUGAUGGAGCGGUGGCGCGGCGCAGCCGUGGCGGUGUUGUCGCCGCGGUCUGCCCAGACCACACGGGCCUAUAUUUGGGGUCUUUGGCGGUGAUUUACCAUGGUGUUUUUGAUCCAACUACCUUGGAAACUUUUGCAUGUAGGGAGGCGUUGGCACUUGCUAGCGAUCUUCAGGUGACACAUAUGAUAAUACCAUCGAAUUGCCAAGGAGUGGUGAACGGUAUAAACCAAGGGACAGGAGGACUGCACUCAGCUAUCAUUCAGGAGAUUUUAGUUCGUAGAAACAACUUUACUUCUGUUUCUUUUGUUCAUGAGUGUAGAAACUUUAAUUUCGAGCCUCACAAUCUUGCCAAGUUUGCUUGUAAUCUUUAG